AAAAAAGGUAAGCUACUAAGAGCGAAUGGUGGAUGCCUUGACUGGUAAAGGCGAUGAAGGACGUACUAGACUGCGAUAAGCUACGGGGAGCUGUCAAGAAGCUUUGAUCCGUAGAUUUCCGAAUGGGGCAACCCAGUAUAUAGAGAUAUAUACUACCAUAAUGGAGCGAACGUAGGGAAUUGAAACAUCUUAGUACCUACAGGAAAAGAAAUCAAUAGAGAUUGCGUCAGUAGCGGCGAGCGAAAGCGCAAGAGGGCAAACCCAGUGCUUGCACUGGGGGUUGUAGGACUGCAAUGUGCAAGAGGUAAGUUUAGCAGAACAUUCUGGAAAGUAUAACCAUAGAGGGUGAUAGUCCCGUAUGCGAAAAACAAACCUUAGCUAGCAGUAUCCUGAGUAGGGCGGGACACGAGAAAUCCUGUCUGAAGCUGGGUCGACCACGAUCCAACCCUAAAUACUACUACUAGACCGAUAGUGCACAAGUACCGUGAGGGAAAG
rnacentral:rRNA from 1 species